rnacentral:rRNA from 1 species
GCAGUGGGGAAUAUUGCACAAUGGGCGAAAGCCUGAUGCAGCCAUGCCGCGUGUAUGAAGAAGGCCUUCGGGUUGUAAAGUACUUUCAGUUGUGAGGAAGGGGGUAGUGUUAAUAGCGCUAUCUCUUGACGUUAGCAACAGAAGAAGCACCGGCUAACUCCGUGCCAGCAGCCGCGGUAAUACGGAGGGUGCGAGCGUUAAUCGGAAUUACUGGGCGUAAAGCGCAUGCAGGUGGUUCAUUAAGUCAGAUGUGAAAGCCCGGGGCUCAACCUCGGAACUGCAUUUGAAACUGGUGAACUAGAGUACUGUAGAGGGGGGUAGGAUUUCAGGUGUAGCGGUGAAAUGCGUAGAGAUCUGAAGGAAUACCAGUGGCGAAGGCGGCCCCCUGGACAGAUACUGACACUCAGAUGCGAAAGCGUGGGGAGCAAACAGGAUUAGAUACCCUGGUAGUCCACGCCGUAAACGAUGUCUACUUGGAGGUUGUGGCCUUGAGCCGUGGCUUUCGGAGCUAACGCGUUAAGUAGACCGCCUGGGGAGUACGGUCGCAAGAUUAAAACUCAAAUGAAUUGACGGGGGCCCGCACAAGCGGUGGAGCAUGUGGUUUAAUUCGAUGCAACGCGAAGAACCUUACCUACUCUUGACAUCCAGAGAAUCCAGCGGAGACGCAGGAGUGCCUUCGGGAGCUCUGAGACAGGUGCUGCAUGGCU